rnacentral:rRNA from 1 species
UACGGAGGAUGCAAGCGUUAUCCGGAAUUAUUGGGCGUAAAGGGUCCGCAGGUGGCUAUUCAAGUCUGCUGUCAAAGCAUGGAGCUUAACUCCAUAAAGGCAGUGGAAACUGGAGAGCUAGAGUUCGGUAGGGGUCACGGGAAUUCCCAGUGUAGCGGUGAAAUGCGUAGAUAUUGGGAAGAACACCAGCGGCGAAGGCGCGUGACUGGGCCGAGACUGACACUGAGGGACGAAAGCUAGGGGAGCGAAAGGG